GCCCGACGCCCGCAAAGAUGUGCCGCCCACCUUCCAGGAGCAGCGCUGUAACCCGCACAACAACCCCUUCUUCCGGGAGCAGAUGCUGCAGGCGAUGGAGCAGAUGGGUAUGCAGCAGCAGCAGCAGCGCCUGCCGCCGCUACCGGCCGGGCCGCGGCAGGUGGUGCCGG